rnacentral:rRNA from 1 species
CGAGUAGACGGCCAUACAAGUCAGAUGUGAAAACUUAGAGCUCAACUUUAAGACUGCAUCUGAAACUGUAUAGCUAGAGUGCAGGAGAGGAAAGUGGAAUUUCUAGUGUAGCGGUAAAUGCAUAGAUAUUAGGAGGAACACCAGUGGCGAAGGCGACUUUCUGGACUGUAACUGACGUUGAGGCGCGAAAGUGUGGGGAGCAAACA